UACAGAGGGUGCGAGCGUUAAUCGGAAUUACUGGGCGUAAAGCGUGCGUAGACGGCUAUCUAAGUCGGGUGUGAAAGCCCCGGGCUCAACCUGGGAAUUGCAUUCGAGACUGAAUAGCUAGGGUACGGUAGAGGGAAGCGGAAUUUCCGGUGUAGCAGUGAAAUGCGUAGAUAUCGGAAGGAACAUCAGUGGCGAAAGCGGCUUCCUGGACCAGUACCGACGUUCAGGCACGAAAGCGUGGGGAGCAAACAGG
rnacentral:rRNA from 1 species